rnacentral:rRNA from 1 species
CGUAGGUGGCAAGCGUUGUCCGGAUUUAUUGGGUUUAAAGGGUGCGUAGGCGGUUCCAUAAGUCAGUGGUGAAAUACGGCAGCUCAACUGUCGAGGUGCCAUUGAUACUGUGGAACUUGAGUACUGAUGAGGUAGGCGGAAUGGACGGUGUAGCGGUGAAAUGCUUAGAGAUCGUCCAGAACACCGAUAGCGAAGGCAGCUUACUAAGGAGUAACUGACGCUGAGGCACGAAAGUGUGGGGAUCAAACAGGAUUAGAUACCCUGGUAGUCCACACUGUAAACGAUGAUUACUCGAUGUUGGCGAUACACAGCCAGCGUCUUAGCAAAAGCGAUAAGUAAUCCACCUGGGGAGUACGCCGGCAACGGUG